rnacentral:rRNA from 1 species
AUUGUCCUUUGGACAAUGGUAGGAGAGCGUUCUAAGGGCGUCGAAGCAUGAUCGCAAGGACAUGUGGAGCGCUUAGAAGUGAGAAUGCCGGUGUGAGUAGCGAAAGACGGGUGAGAAUCCCGUCCACCGAUUGACUAAGGUUUCCAGAGGAAGGCUCGUCCGCUCUGGGUUAGUCGGGUCCUAAGCUGAGGCCGACAGGCGUAGGCGAUGGAUAACAGGUUGAUAUUCCUGUACCAC